rnacentral:lncRNA from 1 species
CCUGGCUUGCCCAUUUUUCUAUUGAGUCAUUUGCCUUGUUGGUAUGGAGUUGUAGGAGCUCUUUCUGAAUUCUGCCUCUAACCCCAUGUUGGCUUUUUGUAUUUCAGAGACCUCGUCCGCACAGGGGCUUGUUCUUCUGUGUCUUUGCAGGGCUGUUUUGGACUCAGUAUUCACCUAAGCACUCCAAAUUACCCAGCACACCCUGCCUGCAUGGCGCUGCGCUGCACCUUCACUCUGGUCACGGGUCUGGCAGUCAGCUCACCAAUUCCUCCUGCUUCCCUGGGACUUGCCGGCUUUUAGCACUGCAAUUCACUCAGCAAACUGGGACUGUUGGUCACCCUACCUGGCAGCCAGUGAUAAGGUGAGGGCCACUCCUGGGAGGGAGGACACCUGUGGGGAAAAUUCUUGUGUUAUUUAUUUCUCCUUCGGGAUAGGGUGCCUGCAGCGCUUCAUGGGAGGGGGUGGGCUGAUGCUGCGGGCUCAGAAGUUUCAAGGGCAUCUGGGGAGACCAGAUAUUCAGAGACCUUCUAGAUGUGCCUGUUCCAUGUAUCAGGGACGCAGGUUUUCCCAACAGGGCUGGUGUCAUUGGCAUGACAGACCUGCCUUGGCUGAGCGUUCACCUGUCUUUGGAGUUCAGCCACCUUAGCAAGUCCUGGGUUUGUUCUUCAGACUUUGCUGCUCGCCCAUUGCCUGGAUCGGGGGCUACUUUGUAAACCACCAGGAAGACUCCAGUGUUUCUGGUUAAUUUUUAGAUGUUUGUUAAUUGCUCUUGGUCUCUCAUUAAUCCCCUGUGGGUCAUCCAGGAAACAUACUCACCACUGUCUGUUCUCUGAGUUUUCAUUUCCAGGCAUCCGCCCUGCCUGGAUCUCCUCACCUGCCAGGAACUUCCUCUCCACAAGCCGGCCAUCCCAGCAAAAGUUCUAACACCAAAGGUCUGGCAACUAGCCUGCCAUCUUGUGCCUGGAGCCGCCUGCGUGCCACCUACUCCCGAAGAUGGGAACCUUGUUGCCAGUUGGGCAGAUGCGGGGCAAUCCUGUACCAAGACCCCAUUUUACCACCUGCUUUCUCAGACCACUCUGGAACCCACUGUCUCAGAUUGUGUCCUCCAGGAAGCAGACCAUGAGAGGGAGUUGGCAGGGCCAAAGAUUUACUGGGGCUAACUAACACUCAGGAAAGGGAUAGGAAGGAAACAGGGCUGGAGAGCAGGUUGAGCCCGACCUGACAGUCUCGAGCAGCCCAACAGGGAGGUGUGGAGCAAGGGUUGCCCACUAGAGGGGCCUGCAUUGGGUACGGGUGAUGGGGUCCACAUGGUACCUGGCAUAUAGCAGGCUGUGCAAUCCAUAUUAACUGACUGGAUAAAUUAAUGCCCAGAAAAGGUGCCCUGGAGAAUGGGUGUGUGCUGAACACAAUAGGGAAGGGCCCAGCAUCUGCCUUGGCAUAGGCAGAACUGUGCUGUGCCCUGCAACAGGCCACCUGAGAGCUGCUUUGAUCUUGUGUGUACAUUAGAUGACUGCCAGGGGCAUGAAGGGGAUGUGCUUCCAGGGCAUUUGCUGGCAGGGCGUCUCGUGAUCUCUUGGUAUUGGUGUGAGCACAGCCUGGCAGGAGAGGGCAGAUCUCCAUGCAAAGUAUGUCAGAAAGCAGAUGGAAGCCAGGCCCCCUCCUGAAAGAGGCUCCUUGAAGGUAGGUGCACACUCAUGUCUUUGUUACUUGUAAGGGGGCAUCUUACAGGCAAGAGGAGUUAGGUGAAUGUGAAGAGGAAGGAACUACUCUGGGCAGGGGGCUGGGGGACGCUUCGUAGAGGAGGGGGUGUUUGAGCUGGGCCUUGAAGGUCAAAAGGGUUUUGUUAGGUGGGAAAUGGGGGAAGGACAGUCUGAAAGGGUUAGGUACAUUCAAGGAGCCCAGAGAAGGUUCGUGGCUGGAGCAGACGCAUUCGUAGAGUGAAGUCAUGGGAGAGAAGAGGCUGGGAAACUAGAUUGGUUCCAACUCCUAAAGGACCACUGAAGGAGUGUGGGCUGCACGCUGGGUGCAGCAGGUGAGUUUCCUCACUUGGGUUUCACUGUCAGCAUUUUAAAAAGGCAAACUGGUUUUCUUCCUGAGAAGAAUUCAUUGAUUCACUUGUGGCCAGUAAGUCAUCUGGGCCAGAGGUUGGUGGGGAGAUGAUAGGGGUGCAAGUGUCAUCUUCAAUCACAGCAUAACUGCCCUUGCUUUCUUACCUCUCGUUUAGAUAUUUCAAUGCUUGCUCAGGUCCCCUGCGCCCUCCUUCCUUCUCCCUUCCCAGCCAUACUACUUAUGGGAUGACUUUCUCUUUGUAAAAUGACCGUUAGUCUUAUCAAAUUAAUCCCAAAGUAAUACCAUCAAUUUCCCCCUAAAAUACCAACAAGACCCCUGCUUGAAACUGCUUGUACAUUAGAGACAGAGAAGAGUCCAUGAGAAUCAACAUUUUCUGAGGACUCCAACUGUGUGCCAAGAGAGUUCCCCUGCUGGUGCCUCCUCUGUAGUAAAGGAAAGGUAACAUUCCUGCAAGGCUUUGAAGCUUACAGCGUGCUUGCCCUUAGAUUCUUGUGUUGUGUUCUGGGUCAGCAGGAAUGCCUCGCCAGGUCCUUUUUCUCAUCCUAAUGUGACACUGAAUUCUUCACAGGCUCCUGGGACCACAUUAUCAUUCUCUUCACUCGAGAGAUGAGGACACUGAAAUUCAGAGAGGGGAAGUGAUUUGCCUCAGCUUGUACUGUAAGUGAUCAAGGCAGGACUCAACCAGUCUUUUUGACCCUGACUAUGGUGAUUUGAUCUCUACACCACAAGAUGGUGGUGGAAUGGUGGAAUAUGGUAACUAGAAGGCCCUUUCUAGCUCAGGACACAUUUGAUGCUGUGACUGUUUGGGAAUUCAGUCCUGACCAAUUUAAGAGGUUGUGUUUCUUAGCUGUCUCUGGCUCCUGGUUUGCCCAGUUUGAUUCUGUGCCUGCCUAGCAAAACCUCUCUGUCUGUGGUCUAAGAAGCCUGACAUCUCUGAACUAGUCCUCUUCCUGUCCACUCAAUAUCGACAGAAUCUCAUGGUAUGUCCUCCUGGCUCAGCCAUGGAAUAAAGCCAGCUCUGUUGUUUUUGUCCUUGUGUUGUGCCCCAGCUUAGGAAGAAUAACUCUUCAGGCUGCCUCUCCCAUGCUAGGUCACAUGCAGGUCACACAUUCCCAGGUAAAUUUUGCACUUUGUUUAUCUGGAAUUUGUCUUAAUUUCCUUGUCCUUGUUUCUGAUUGUGUACUCUCUUCCCUUCUGUCUCAUUAUCUGGGCCCUAUGUCUUUUCUCAUGGUUUCUCUUCUGUAAGUCUCUAGACCCGAUGCAAGUACACAGUGAAGUGAAUGAAGUUAAAGAUAAAGCUUCAGUGUCUCUUGCUUGAACAGCCCUGGAAGGAGCCCUAGCAUUAUGGUCCUACAGUUGUAUGGUUUGGAAAAUCUACAAAAGAUAUUUUAACCACAGUUGGUUCAGGGAAUCUUUCUUUCCACUAUGCUGUCUCUAUCCCUCUUGCCUGUGUGUUGGGUAGCAAUGCAAUGACCAUGGUCAUAUUGAGAAUUCAACUAAGGGGACAUUAAGUUGGGAUUCAUUUAGUUUAGGAUAUAUUUUUGAGAUAUCUUUCAGGAGUCCACAGGCAAUUCCAUAUAUUUCCCAGUUUUUGCCAGCUGCCCUUUAUUGGAAUAGCUUGCAGGAAUACUUCUGCUCACUGUGCUGAUGCAUCCAGUGUUAGGACAAGAGGGGUGAGGCUGAAGGGUACAUUGUAAUGUCACUGUGACCUGCAGCACUUGGCAUCAGGGGUAUGUUGGCAGUGGAGGAGAACCAAGAUUCACAAUGUACAGCACCAGAAGCUAGUCUGUGGAAAAAUCUUCCAGUCAUCAAUCAGAUGUGUAAAAUUGUAAGUGAAGGAUUCCAUUUUCACUGAAAAGCAAAAGUGCUCUCUUGUCAGAAAUAUACCCAGCGUGCAGUGUACGCAAUUGUAAAUACAAGAUACAUUUAUUUGCACAUUUGGAAGGGGAUUUUGUGAAAUGGCAUUUUUCAGAAUUCCUGUGAUUGUAGGACAUGGACCUGUAGAAGGACUAGAAACAUUGAGUAGUAUGCAGAAGAGUUUUGCUGGGCAGGCACAGAAUUAAACUGCGCAAACCAGGAGCCAGAGACAGCUAAGAAACACAACCUCUUAAAUUGGUCGGGACUGAAUUCCCAAACAGUCACAGCAUCAAAUGUGUCCUGAGCUAGAAAGGGCACAGUCAUAGUUCCUGUGACUGCUACCCUUAGAAAGACCUGCUUGGAAGUUACGCUCCCUGCUGGCAUCUGGAAACUUGACUCUCAGAAUUUCCCUAGUCAACAGUUAACUGAUAAGAUGGCUCACUGUGCCUUGACUGUUGAUACAGAAAACGUAGUUUAUGCUGAAUAUCUGCUUUCCUUCUGGGAGUCUGGAAUUUUGGUGCAUGCUAGGCAGAGGAAGUCUCUGUUACCAAACACCAGUGUAAAGUGUGGGCAAUGAGUCUGGGCUUCUCUGGCCAGAAACAUCACACGUGCCACUGCAUAUUUGUUGCCGAGAGAAGCAUGUGCUCUGUGUGGCCCCUCAUGGGAGGGAGAGAGCAUAAGGAAGUCUGUGCAUGGGCUCCUCCAAACUUUGCCUGUCUUUUCUGCUUGUGAUCUGGCUGUGUGCCCUAACUACAUUGCUGUAAUAAAUCUUGGUUGUGAUUAUAACUAUAUGCUGAAUCCUGUGUUUCCAACUAUAACAAACAAGAAAAGCAGGAAUAACAUACUAUAGAAGUGCAUGAGGCAGUUAAGUACUAAAGAUAAGUAGCUAUUUAUGUUAUUUUUUUCUAAAUUUUCAGAUGUUUCUAACAUUUGUCAACGUUUUCAAAUGUGUGUUCUUUUGUUUUUUUUUUCUCACUUUAAAUAUUUGCUUUUGUUCCCAAUUUUAUACUGGUAAUUUUGCAUUCUUAUACUUAAAGAAGGCCCCAGAUGUUACAAGCUUCAAGCCCCACAAAACCUGGAUCUGUCUCUGUCUUGGAUCCAAGACUUGCUGCCUCAUGUUGGUUUUC